AGCGAACGCUGGCGGCAGGCCUAACACAUGCAAGUCGAACGGACCCUUCGGGGUUAGUGGCGGACGGGUGAGUAACACGUGGGAACGUGCCUUUAGGUUCGGAAUAGCUCCUGGAAACGGGUGGUAAUGCCGAAUGUGCCCUUCGGGGGAAAGAUUUAUCGCCUUUAGAGCGGCCCGCGUCUGAUUAGCUAGUUGGUGAGGUAAUGGCUCACCAAGGCGACGAUCAGCAGCUGGUCUGAGAGGAUGACCAGCCACAUUGGGACUGAGACACGGCCGAAACUCCUACGGGAGGCAGCAGUGGGGAAUCUUGCGCAAUGGGCGAAAGCCUGACGCAGCCAUGCCGCGUGGAUGAUGAAGGUCUUAGGAUUGUAAAAUCCUUUCACCGGUGAAGAUAAUGACUGUAGCCGGAGAAGAAGCCCCGGCUAACUUCGUGCCAGCCGCCGCGGUAAUAC
rnacentral:rRNA from 1 species